rnacentral:rRNA from 1 species
AGUAACACGUGGGAACAUACCCUUUUCUAUGGAAUAGCCUCGGGAAACUGAGAGUAAUACCAUACACGGCCUUCGGGCGAAAGAUUUAUCGGUGAAGGAUUGGCCCGCGUUAGAUUAGAUAGUUGGUGGGGUAAUGGCCUACCAAGUCUACGAUCUAUAGCUGGUUUGAGAGGAUGAUCAGCAACACUGGGACUGAGACACGGCCCAGACUCCUACGGGAGGCAGCAGUGGGGAAUCUUAGACAAUGGGCGCAAGCCUGAUCUAGCGAUGCCGCGUGAGUGACGAAGGUCUUAGGAUCGUAAAGCUCUUUCGCCAGGGAUGAUAAUGACAGUACCUGGUAAAGAAACCCCGGCUAACUCCGUGCCAGCAGCCGCGGUAAUACGGAGGGGGUUAGCGUUGUUCGGAAUUACUGGGCGUAAAGCGCACGUAGGCGGACUAAUAAGUUAGAGGUGAAAUCCCAGGGCUCAACCCUGGAACUGCCUUUAAUACCGUUAGUCUAGAGUUCGAGAGAGGUAAGUGGAAUUCCGAGUGUAGAGGUGAAAUUCGUAGAUAUUCGGAGGAACACCAGUGGCGAAGGCGGCUUACUGGCUCGAUACUGACGCUGAGGUGCGAAAGUGUGGGGAGCAAACAGGAUUAGAUACCCUGGUAGUCCACACCGUAAACGAUGAAUGCCAGACGUCGGGGGGCUUGCCCUUCGGUGUCACACCUAACGGAUUAAGCAUUCCGCCUGGGGAGUACGGUCGCAAGAUUAAAACUCAAAGGAAUUGGCGGGGG